UCAAGCUAUUUUUAUGAUUCCCACAAAUCCACCACCAACAUUCAGAAAGCCAGAACUUUGGUCCGAUGAUUUCACCGAUUUUGUUAAAAAGUGUUUGGUGAAGAAUCCUGAGCAGAGAGCUACUGCAACACAACUUUUACAGCAUUUAUCCUUUGACUUUUUGCUCCACUAUAAAAUACGUAAGUACAAGAUCCCUGGACUCCUUGAAGAGAUUAUCACGUUGUAAAUAUCAGUUACAGGAUUAUCUAAAUGAAGAGCUUCAGAGUUUCAAUUGUUUUUUGAUAGAAUAAUUGUAAGUAGACUUUGUAUCCAGAAUGUCAUUAGAUUUUAAAAUCUACCUUAAAAUUUAAUGCAAAUAGAAAUAAUUUAAUAUUUAUAAUAGGUGUUUGUGAAUCUUAAUUUCCCCAACCGAAUAGCCUUAGAACUUUCAGCUAAUAAGUAUGUCUCACAUUAACAAAACUUGAUAUUUGCUAAAUGGUUUCUAUUGUUAAGUGACAAAAGGAUGAAAAACAUGGUUCUUGUGAAAAGGGACUUCCCUGUCUCUAAAAGAACCAUUGGGUUAAAAGAACAAAAAAAGAAAAAAGGAAAAAAAGGUAACUUUCCAAAGUCCCAUUUUCCCAAAAGGAUGUGUUGAGGGGUAUGGAAAACAGGCUCUUAAGUAUAAUGUUUAUUGUUAUGAAAGUGUAACUUGGUACUAGUCUCCAUAGAUGCCAGUACAGCAAUAUUUAUUUAAAAUAAAAAUCCAUAUAUUCUUUGAUCCAACAAUUGCACUUCUAGGAAUUUAUUCUACAAAAAUAUUUAACCAUGUGUGAAAUAACAUAUGUGUAAAAAUAUUCGUAGAACAUUGAAAUUGUAAAAGAUUGGGAAGAUCCUAAAUAUCUGUCAACAAGUUGGAAACAAUUUAAAGUCCAAGAAGAAGAGUUAUUGGAAAAAUACACCUAUGUACACACAACAUUUAUACAUAUCUUAAUGCUUAUAACGGAGUAUCUCUGGAAAAAUAAGCAAGAAA
rnacentral:sRNA from 1 species